rnacentral:rRNA from 1 species
GACGAACGCUGGCGGCGUGCCUAAUACAUGCAAGUCGAACGGGUGGCGGACGGGUGAGUAACACGUGGGAACCUACCCAUCAGAGGGGGAUAACACUUGGAAACAGGUGCUAAUACCGCAUACUGAUGGAUGGACGCGCGGUGGAUUAGCUAGUUGGUGAGGUAACGGCUCACCAAGGCGAAGAUGCAUAGCUGACCUGAGAGGAUGAGCGGCCAAACUGGAACUGAGACACGGUCCAGACUCCUACGGGAGGCAGCAGUGGGGAAUAUUGCACAAUGGGCGCAAGCCUGAUGCAGCCAUGCCGCGUGUGUGAAGAAGGCCUUCGGGUUGUAAAGCACUUUCAGCGGGGAGGCGUUACCCGCAGAAGAAGCACCGGCUAACUCCGUGCCAGCAGCCGCGGUAAUAC